GAUGAAGAACGCAGCGAAAUGCGAUAAGUAAUGUGAAUUGCAGACACCGUGAAUCAUCGAAUCUUUGAACGCACAUUGCGCCCUUUGGUAUUCCGAAGGGCAUGCCUGUUCGAGCGUCAUUGCUGCCCUCAAGCACGGCUUGUGUGUUGGGCCCCGUCCUCCGAUCCCGGGGGACGGGCCCGAAAGGCAGCGGCGGCACCGCGUCCGGUCCUCGAGCGUAUGGGGCUUUGUCACCCACUCUGUAGGCCCGGCCGGCGCUUGCCGAUCAACCCAAAUUUUUAUCCAGGUUGACCUCGGAUCAGGUAGGGAUACCCGCUGAACUUAAGCAUAUCAAUAAGCGGAGGA
rnacentral:misc_RNA from 1 species